UCGAAUGAACAUCUCAUCAUCGGCCCUGUAUCAUUUCGGUUAAUACCAUGCCGUGUGAUCGCCAUCAGAUGACCCCGGUAUGUCAUUGUAUCACACAGAAUAGCCAGGUGGCGGUAGUUAACAUAAGAUCCAUCAAAAGAUAUCACCACCCUCAACUCAUCCAACAGAGAUCUGCGGACAGCCUCAAUUCCUAAAACUUCAAUAACUUCAAUCAAGUGGUUGCUUGUUGUUCUGGUUGCAUCGACAUCCUCAUGGCACAUAACUGCCAACAGAUUGACACCUUCCGUGUCGAGCAUCCACUCUAAAUCGGAUUUAAAUCCAUCAUUUUCAUCGAACUUGUUUACUUUACCUUGCUUGAUGAAUACCUUAUUGAUGUCAG
rnacentral:misc_RNA from 1 species